UACGAAGGGUGCAAGCGUUACUCGGAAUUACUGGGCGUAAAGCGUGCGCAGGCGGCGCGUUAAGACAGGUGUGAAAUCCCCGGGCUUAACCUGGGAACUGCAUUGGUGACUGGCAGGCUUUGAGUGUGGCAGAGGGAGGUAGAAUUCCACGUGUAGCAGUGAAAUGCGUUGAUAUUCACAGGAACUCCGGUGGCGAAGGCGGCUCGCUGGAUCUCUUCUGACGCUGAGGCGCGAAAGCUAGGGGAGCAAACGGG
rnacentral:rRNA from 1 species